UGGGUGUGGUGAAGUCCAGCAGCAAGUGCUCCACUGUGGGCAUCCAGGGGAUUGCUUGGGCCUUUGGAGGCAUGAUCUUUGCCUUGGUCUACUGCACUGCUGGCAUCUCUGGUAUGUGGUUUUUCCUCCCUUUUUUUUUUGGCCAGACAUUUAAUAGUUAUCUUGUGUUUUAAAUCUUGUUUCUUUUCUUUUCUUUUUUGUUUCUAGUUUUUUAAAAUUUUUGGCAGCAAUUUUCUGUUUCUAGUUUCCUAGGUAUAUCUUUGCUGAGUUAGAAGAUCCAACUUGAAGAAGUCCUUUCGCUAAGGAAAAUUUUGUAGGUGUUUAGUUUCCCUAGUCUAUUUCUUUUCUAAGCUCAUAAAAACUCAAAAAUCCUUGUCUAACCUUGAACCUGUAGCCUAUAGGCUGUAGGAGCUUUUUUUCUUUCCAUCAUUUUUUGAAGAAAAAUAGUAAUUUUUGUUUUUUUAUCUUUUUUAUACUAUAUACUGGUUUUUGCCUGUUGAACAUGGAAAUUCUUCAGUACUUGAUCCGUUUCUUUUGAUUUCGGUUUGUGUAUUACAAAGAAAUUAGUAGUAAAACCAGCUAAACAAGCAUCCUUGAGAGCUCUAAAAACUCUGAUUUCUCAACAGGGGAAAACCUUUUUUUUUUUGGUUCUUCAUAUGGAGGAGUAUUAUUAUUAUUAUUUUUUUUUGAGAGCUCUAUAUACUUGUCUUUCUACUUGGGCAGGUGGGCACAUCAACCCUGCAGUGACCUUUGGCCUGCUGCUGGCAAGGAAGCUGUCCCUGGUCAGGGCUCUGUUCUACAUGGUGAUGCAGUGCCUGGGUGCCAUCUGUGGUGCUGGUGUGGUCAAGGGCUUCCAGACGGGGCUCUAUGAAACUAAUGGUGGUGGAGCCAAUGUUGUUGCCCCUGGCUACACCAAGGGUGAUGGCUUGGGUGCUGAGAUUAUUGGCACCUUUAUCCUUGUUUACACUGUCUUCUCUGCCACUGAUGCCAAGAGGAAUGCCAGAGAUUCUCAUGUGCCUGUAAGCAUUCCUUGCUUUCCCUCAAGAUGGAACUGGUGGCUUUUCUUUCUUUCUAUAUCUCUUGAAUCAAAUAUAAUAACUCUGUUCUGGCUUGUAGUUCUGCAAGAGAAUAUUUGCCAUCUCAGAAACUUCUUGUUCCUUUCCAUUUGGCUGAUGAGAAUUAUUGGGGUUUUGUUGCAGAUUCUUGCUCCCUUGCCUAUUGGGUUUGCUGUUUUCCUUGUCCACCUGGCCACCAUCCCCAUCACUGGCACUGGCAUCAACCCUGCGAGAAGUCUUGGAGCUGCUAUCAUCUACAACAGGCGCCAUGCUUGGGAUGACAUGGUAA
rnacentral:lncRNA from 1 species